AGGGCUAGUACUAUACUAUAUAUUUUCCAUUACACCAAUCUAAUUACAUCAAUCAUCUAAUAACACAAGGUAGCCUGACAACAACCACCAAAUGCAUACAGAGAGGGUCUCUUGAUGUAAAGAGGAUUAAACAACGCUAAUAUUACAAAGCUAUGAAAAAGUGCUCUUGAUUCGUCUAUUUCCUACACCAGAGCUGCAAGCAUAUAUGUAGUCCAUGAGACCUCUUUCUAGCAGUUUGUGGCGCCGCCGCCGCCGCCGCCACCACCGUCACAGCCGCCUCCACCGCCGGCGCCGCCGUCAUAUCCACCACCACCUCCAAAGCCACCGUCGCCGCUUCCCAUCAUUCCAUCAUCCAUGCCGCCACCACCAACACCACCGUUGAGGCCAUGGCCGCCGCCGCCUCCAUGGCGAUGGCCUCCACCACCUCCGCCUCCGCAAUCACCACAUAGGAUCCGAAGGAUAAUCGAGAUGAACGCACCGACAACCACGACCACAACCACGAUGAUCACUGGUGUGUUGUCUGACAUUAUUAUGAACUCUCAACACAAGUAAUGUCGAGGCUAGAUAGAGAAUGCAGCAGGAUGGCUGGACGGGACGCGCCGUGCCGGGCUAUAUACACAUAUAGCUCAAAGCUAUCAGGUAUACCAUAUAUAUACCCGUAUACAUACCCAACGCCAGUCGCCAUCAGGCCGAUUCUCACUCUGAAACGAUCAAAUGCGAAGUAAAAAUUGGCGACCAAUCAACUAUUGUGAUCGUUUAAUAAGUUGUAUACGUGCGCCGAGUACGCGUACAAAGUUCUACGUUUGCUUCAUCACGAAACGUUCUUCGCCGUGUUGAAUGUUAAACAGAGAGUCGUGGUAUACGCGCCUUUCUGGACUUUUGCUUUGUUGGUUCCAUACUCCCACCUGGGACUGUUUAAACAGUGUCAGGCUGGCCCACCACUUGAGAGUUGAGG
rnacentral:lncRNA from 1 species